UACAGAGGGUGCGAGCGUUAAUCGGAAUUACUGGGCGUAAAGCGCGCGUAGGCGGCUUCGCAAGUCGGGUGUGAAAUCCCCAAGCUCAACUUGGGAACUGCAUUCGAGACUGCGUUGCUAGAGUAUGGGAGAGGGAAGUGGAAUUUCAGGUGUAGCGGUGAAAUGCGUAGAUAUCUGAAGGAACAUCAGUGGCGAAAGCGACUUCCUGGACCAAUACUGACGCUCAUGUGCGAAAGCGUGGGGAGCAAACAGG
rnacentral:rRNA from 1 species